UUCCGAUGUACUUGUUAAUUGAAGGGUAAAUUGUUAUUAUUAUAAAUAAAUUCUUGUUUUAUGCUGUUAUUUUCUAAUCGUAUUUCAUUUUAUUUAAUUUUUUUUUUAUUUCACGCCCUAAAAAAAAAAAAUCCCCAGUGGUAAUAAAUUCAACCCAUUUUAAAGCGUAACACUGAUGUGACUUUUCCAUACAAACGCCACAUCCGGUGAUGUGUUGUGUCAUUACUUCACUUGACUAGCUCAGUUAGUGCAUCGCAAUUUCUGAUCUAGAAUAAAAUCAUGACCAGUGAGCCCCAAAAGUGCAUGUCUGGAGUUUAUUUUUUUAAAUUUAUUUUUUCACAUGGUGUGUGUUUGUUGGUGCACAAUAAUGACCACAAUGACAUUUGCUUUUUAAGUUUUAUGGGAAGGGUGAGUCUGUUACAUAUUUACAGUAAUUGUAAUGAUUAAUUUCUUCCUCGCCCACUUUGCUGUCUUAAGGAGUAGUCAGUUGGGGAGCGAGCAUUUUCUUUUCUUGUCACCUUUCAGGACAGCUCUCCACCAACUGCUCCAUGUGGUGGUCAGUCUUAGUAUUUUUCAGUGUCAUUAUUUUAUUUUAUUUUAUUUUAUUUGUACUUACAUCAGACUACACGUUCUCGUCUUUGUGGACCAAAUACAAAAGGGCCAUUGAAGGAAUCCAUUGAACGCUUGAUAAGAUAAAUAGUUGGGCAGAGCUCCUUCAAACAAUCACCACAUCCAUGAUAUUUGUCCGUAAUCCAAGGUAAGUAUUUUUCAAUGGGCAUUAUAUUAAAUGUAAGAACAAUUGAAUCAUUUCAAUUCAGUCAAAACAAAAAUAUUUCCAAGACUUAGUGACUCUCAUUUUGACUAAUGACUUAAAGACAGUCUAUUUUUGUAAAACAGGUAAGAUCAUGUGAUAGAACAACAGGAUGAAGGAAACAGGGGUGAAUGUGCAAACUUGAAUUACUUUAUGGCCCUAUUUUUUUUUUCACUUGAGGACAGGGUUAAGGGUCAAAGACCAAUCCCGAUUACAGGCAUUCUGCAAUAUUUUUCAGAAAAGAUUCACACAAAGUAAAACAUAACUCCAGCAUGGCGUAAAUGUAAAACAUUUAUUCUGAACUUGUAAAAUGUAUUCAUUGACAUGAUGGCUGCUGCUUGUCUUGACUUCCAGCACUGAUUCUUCUUUCAUUCACCCGGUGAAUCACCCUCAUUUUAUUGCUGCCAUAAGAGUACAAAU